rnacentral:rRNA from 1 species
UAAAGCUUCGGCGGUUUGGGAAUGGCCUGCGUUCGAUUAGCUAGUUGGUGAGGUAAAGGCUCACCAAGGCGACGAUCGAUAACUGGUCUGAGAGGAUGAUCAGUCUGACUGGAACUGAGACACGGUCCAGACUCCUACGGGAGGCAGCAGUAGGGAAUUUUCCACAAUGGGCGAAAGCCUGAUGGAGCAACGCCGCGUGCAGGAUGAAGGCCCUCGGGUCGUAAACUGCUUUUAUGUGAGAAGAAUAUGACGGUAACACAUGAAUAAGGGUCGGCUAACUACGUGCCAGCAGCCGCGGUCAUACGUAGGACCCAAGCGUUAUCCGGAAUUACUGGGCGUAAAGAGUUGCGUAGGUGGCAUUAUAAGUGGAGCGUGAAAGCGUGCGGCUCAACCGCAUUACUGCGUUCCAAACUGUGAAGCUUGAGUGCGAGAGAGGUAGAUGGAAUUCCCAGUGUAGGAGUGAAAUCCGUAGAUAUUGGGAGGAACACCGAUGGCGUAGGCAGUCUACUGGCUCGUUACUGACACUAAGGCACGAAAGCGUGGGGAGCAAACGGGAUUAGAUACCCCGGUAGUCCACGCCGUAAACUAUGGAUGCUAGCUGUUACUCACAUCGACCUGAGUAGUAGCGAAGUUAACGCGUUAAGCAUCCCGCCUGGGGAGUACGGUCGCAAGAUUAAAACUCAAAGGAAUUGACGGGGACCCGCACAAGCGGUGGAGCGUGUUGUUUAAUUCGAUGGUAAGCGAAGAACCUUACCAAGGCUUGAAAUCCCGAUAGAGAUUCUUCGAAAGAAGAGUUGCAUUUAGUUGGAUCGGUGACAGGUGAUGCAUGGCCGUCGUCAGCUCGUGUCGUGAGAUGUAUGGUUAAGUCCAUUAACGAGCGCAACCCUUAUGUUUAGUUGGAUUUUUCUAAACAGACUGCCCUGGCAACAGGGAGGAAGGGGGGGAUGAUGUCAGGUCAGUAUUUCCCUUACGUCUUGGGCUACAAACACGCUACAAUGGCCGGUACAAAGGGCAGCCAACCCGCGAGGGGGAGCAAAUCCCAUCAAAACCGGUCUCAGUUCGGAUUGCAGGCUGAAACUCGCCUGCAUGAAGCUGGAAUC